UACGUAGGGGGCAAGCGUUGUCCGGAUUUAUUGGGCGUAAAGAGCGCGUAGGCGGCCCGGUAAGUCCGCUGUGAAAGUCAAGGGCUCAACCCUUGAAUGCCGGUGGAUACUGUCGGGCUAGAGUCCGGAAGAGGCGAGUGGAAUUCCUGGUGUAGCGGUGAAAUGCGUAGAUAUCUGGAGGAACACCGGUGGCGAAGGCGGCAUCCUGGACCGGCAUUGACGCUGAGGCGCGAAAGCCAGGGGAGCAAACGGG
rnacentral:rRNA from 1 species